rnacentral:rRNA from 1 species
GAUGAACGCUGGCGGCGUGCCUAACACAUGCAAGUCGAGCGAUUUACUUCGGUAAAGAGCGGCGGACGGGUGAGUAACGCGUGGGUAACCUGCCCUGUACACACGGAUAACAUACCGAAAGGUAUGCUAAUACGAGAUAAUAUGCUUUUAUCGCAUGGUAGAAGUAUCAAAGCUUUUGCGGUACAGGAUGGACCCGCGUCUGAUUAGCUAGUUGGUAAGGUAACGGCUUACCAGGGCGAAGAUCAGUAGCCGACCUGAGAGGGUGAUCGGCCACAUUGGAACUGAGACACGGUCCAAACUCCUACGGGAGGCAGCAGUGGGGAAUAUUGCACAAUGGGCGAAAGCCUGAUGCAGCAACGCCGCGUGAGCGAUGAAGGCCUUCGGGUCGUAAAGCUCUGUCCUCAAGGAAGAUAAUGACGGUACUUGAGGAGGAAGCCCCGGCUAACUACGUGCCAGCAGCCGCCGUAAUAC